ACGCUCGACACCUACGGGGGCAGCAGUGGGGAAUAUUGCACAAUGGGGGAAACCCUGAUGCAGCGACGCCGCGUGAGUGAAGAAGUAUUUCGGUAUGUAAAGCUCUAUCAGCAGGGAAGAAGAUGACGGUACCUGAGUAAGAAGCCCCGGCUAACUACGUGCCAGCAGCCGACGGUAAUCUGAGGCGGGCUGGCGAAGGC
rnacentral:rRNA from 1 species